UAGUGGCAAGCGUUGUCCGGAUUUACUGGGCGUAAAGGAUGCGUACGCGGAUAUUUAAGUCAGAUGUGAAAUACCCGGGCUCAACUUGGGUGCUGCAUUUGAAACUGGAUAUCUAGAGUGCGGGAGAGGUAAGUGGAAUUCCUAGUGUAGCGGUGAAAUGCGUAGAUAUUGGGAGGAACACCAGUGGCGAAGGCGACUUACUGGACAUUAACUGACGCUGAGGCACGAAAGCGUGGGUAGCAAACAGGAUUAGAUACCCUGGUAGUCCACGCUGUAAACGAUGGAUACUAGGUGUAGGGGGUAUCGACUCCCCCUGUGCCGCAGUUAACACAAUAAGUAUCCCACCUGGGGAGUACGGCCGCAAGGUUGAAACUCAAAGGAAUUGACGGGGGCCCGCACAAGCAGUGGAGUAUGUGGUUUAAUUCGAAGCAACGCGAAGAACCUUACCAGGACUUGACAUCCAACUAACGAAGCAGAGAUGCAUUAGGUGCCCUUCGGGGAAAGUUGAGACAGGUGGUGCAUGGUUGUCGUCAGCUCGUGUCGUGAGAUGUUGGGUUAAGUCCCGCAACGAGCGCAACCCUUACUGAUAGUUGCUACGCAAGAGCACUCUAUCGGGACUGCCGUGGAUAACACGGAGGAAGGUGGGGACGACGUCAAAUCAUCAUGCCCCUUACGCUCUGGGCUACACACGUACUACAAUGGCGGCCAACAGAGGGCAGCGAAACCGCGAGGUGGAGCAAAUCCCCAAAAGCCGCCCCAGUUCAGAUUGCAGGCUGCAACUCGCCUGUAUGAAGUUGGAAUUGCUAGUAAUCGCAGGUCAGCAUACUGCGGUGAAUACGUUCCGGCCU
rnacentral:rRNA from 1 species